CCUUUCUUUUGGAGGGGGGCUGGAGCCUGAGGUCGUCGACAGAUCCAGCGGCACUGCUGUGCUUACCGAGAGCAGCUCCUUUCUUCCACUGCCUCCGCCUCCUCGCACAACACCGCCACCAUCAGCGGCAACUUUAAAAAAUUCUCGAGAGACAACCCCGAGCACUAAUCCUGCACUACACGGCGCGUUUAAAGUCCGAUGCAGCAAUAGCUGAAGGCUUGCUGGGGCCAUUUCGAGGAAACACCAGAGGUCACAAUAAAGUUUAUCUUCUAAAUUA